CCUGUGAUGGUUAAGGUCAGUUGGAAUGCAACUGUUCUUGACUGUAGAGGAAAGGAAUCUAUAUAUAUAAAAGGAUAGUGGACAGGGGUAUGUGAAGAGAGGGGUUGUGAGAGAGGAAAGAGCCCCUUCAGGAGGAGGCUGCCAUUGUAUGAAUUAGAUGAGGAAACAAGAUGAACAAGAUCUGUUAACUCAGGAAGGGCGGGGGAGAGAGAGAGAAAGAAAAAAAGGAGGGGAAGAAAGACAGAGAGGAAGAGCGAGUGGAGGAGAGAGAAAGAGAGAAAAAGAAGGGAGAAGAAAAGAGAAAGAAGGAAGGGUGAGGGAUGGGACUGAGUCUGUCAAUGGCCUGAGACGAAUGAGUGGCCAUGGCAGCAGUGGUGGCAGCAAGGAAGGGCCCAGUCAACCACUGCUGCUGUUUGGGGCUACCAAGGCCAUUGGUGGAGGGAGGGAGGCAGGCAAGCAAGCAACAAGGCCUGGGUCUGUCAGCAGCCUGAGAGGAACGAGUGGCCAUGGUGGUGGCGGCAGCGAGGAAGGGCCCAAUCAACCGCUGCUGCUGCUGCUACUCCUGUGGGGAAGAGCAGGAGCGGGGCUCAGUUUGUCCCAGUGGGGACCCCAUAGAACAGGACAGUCAAAGUCCCAGCCCAUGGGCCAGAUCUGGCCAUGAGGCUUCACUCUCCGACGCCAAACCCGGAGCCAUGUCUGCCACUGCCACCAUCGCCGAGAAGCUUCAGGGGCUGGCAGCAGGCUGGUGAGGGCAGCUGAGCUGGGUGGCUCAGCACACCAGCGUUGGUGAUCCAUAAAAGAGAGUCGUGCGGCCACCAAGAAACUGUGUUCAAGAGCA